rnacentral:rRNA from 1 species
ACUACGGGUGGCAGCAGUGGGGAAUAUUGGGCAAUGGGCGCAAGCCUGACCCAGCAACGCCGCGUGAAGGAAGAAGGCUUUCGGGUUGUAAACUUCUUUUCUGAGGGACGAAGAAAGUGACGGUACCUCAGGAAUAAGCCACGGCUAACUACGUGCCAGCAGACGCGGUAAUACGUAGGUGGCAAGCGUUAUCCGGAUUUAUUGGGUGUAAAGGGCGUGUAGGGGGGAAAGCAAGUCAGUUGUGAAAACUCAGGGCUAAACCCUGAGCCUGCAUUUGGAACUGUUUUUCUUGAGUGCUGGAGGGGCGAGUGGAAUUCCGUGUGUAGCGGUGAAAUGCGUAGAUAUACGGAGGAACACCAGUGGCGAAGGCGGAUUGCUGGACAGUAACUGACGCUGAGGCGCGAAGGCGUGGGAGCAAACAGGAUUAGAUACCCGGGUAGUC